AGAGUUUGAUCCUGGCUCAGAACGAACGCUGGCGGCGUGCCUAACACAUGCAAGUCGCACGAGAAAGGGUAGCAAUACCUGAGUACAGUGGCGCACGGGUGAGUAACACGUGAAUAAUCUACCUCCGAGUGGGGAAUAACUUAGGGAAACCUGAGCUAAUACCGCAUAACACUUACGAGUCAAAGCAGCAAUGCGCUUGGAGAGGAGUUCGCGGCAGAUUAGUUAGUUGGCGGGGUAAUGGCCCACCAAGACGAUGAUCUGUAUCCGGCCUGAGAGGGCGCACGGACACACUGGAACUGAAACACGGUCCAGACUCCUACGGGAGGCAGCAGUGGGGAAUUUUGCGCAAUGGGGGAAACCCUGACGCGGCAACGCCGCGUGGAGGAUGAAAUCCCUUGGGAUGUAAACUCCUUUCGAUCGGGACGAUUAUGACGGUACCGGAAGAAGAAGCCCCGGCUAACUUCGUGCCAGCAGCCGCGGUAAUACGAGGGGGGCGAGCGUUGUUCGGAAUUAUUGGGCGUAAAGGGUGCGUAGGCGGUUUGAUAAGUCUUAUGUGAAAUCUCUGGGCUCAACCCAGAGUCUGCAUAGGAAACUGUCGGGCUUGAGUAUGGGAGAGGUGAGUGGAAUUUCCGGUGUAGCGGUGAAAUGCGUAGAUAUCGGAAGGAACACCUGUGGCGAAAGCGGCUCACUGGACCAUUACUGACGCUGAUGCACGAAAGCUAGGGGAGCAAACAGGAUUAGAUACCCNNGUAGUCC
rnacentral:rRNA from 1 species